rnacentral:rRNA from 1 species
GAUGAACGCUGGCGGCGUGCCUAAUACAUGCAAGUCGAGCGAACAGACGAGGAGCUUGCUCCUCUGACGUUAGCGGCGGACGGGUGAGUAACACGUGGAUAACCUACCUAUAAGACUGGGAUAACUUCGGGAAACCGGAGCUAAUACCGGAUAAUAUAUUGAACCGCAUGGUUCAAUAGUGAAAGACGGUUUUGCUGUCACUUAUAGAUGGAUCCGCGCCGCAUUAGCUAGUUGGUAAGGUAACGGCUUACCAAGGCAACGAUGCGUAGCCGACCUGAGAGGGUGAUCGGCCACACUGGAACUGAGACACGGUCCAGACUCCUACGGGAGGCAGCAGUAGGGAAUCUUCCGCAAUGGGCGAAAGCCUGACGGAGCAACGCCGCGUGAAUGAUGAAGGUCUUCGGAUCGUAAAACUCUGCUAUUAGGGAAGAACAAAUGUGUAAGUAACUAUGCACGUCUUGACGGUACCUAAUCAGAAAGCCACGGCUAACUACGU